CAGCCGUAAACUAUGCUCGCUAGGUGUCAGGGACGGUGCGACCGUUUCUGGUGCCGCAGGGAAGCCGUGAAGCGAGCCACCUGGGAAGUACGGUCGCAAGGCUGAAACUUAAAGGAAUUGGCGGGGGAGCACUACAACGGGUGGAGCCUGCGGUUUAAUUGGAUUCAACGCCGGAAAUCUUACCGGGACCGACAGCAACAUGAAGGCCAGGCUGAAGACUUUGCCGGAUUAGCUGAGAGGAGGUGCAUGGCGUAGACGUCU
rnacentral:rRNA from 1 species